UAGGGAAUCUUCCGCAAUGGGCGAAAGCCUGACGGAGCAACGCCGCGUGAGUGAUGAAGGUCUUCGGAUCGUAAAACUCUGUUAUUAGGGAAGAACAAAUGUGUAAGUAACUAUGCACGUCUUGACGGUACCUAAUCAGAAAGCCACGGCUAACUACGUGCCAGCAGCCGCGGUAAUACGUAGGUGGCAAGCGUUAUCCGGAAUUAUUGGGCGUAAAGCGCGCGUAGGCGGUUUUUUAAGUCUGAUGUGAAAGCCCACGGCUCAACCGUGGAGGGUCAUUGGAAACUGGAAAAAUUGAGUGCAGAAGAGGAAAGUGGAAUUCCAUGUGUAGCGGUGAAAUGCGCAGAGAUAUGGAGGAACACCAGGGGCGAAGGCGACUUUCUGGUCUGUAACUGACGCUGAUGUGCGAAAGCGUGGGGAUCAAACAGG
rnacentral:rRNA from 1 species